rnacentral:rRNA from 1 species
GUACACACCGCCCGUCACACCAUGGGAGUGGGUUGUACCAGAAGUAGAUAGCUUAACCUUCGGGAGGGCGUUUACCACGGUAUGAUUCAUGACUGGGGUGAAGUCGUAACAAGGUAACCGUAGGGGAACCUGCGGUUGGAUCACCUCCUUACC